GAUGAACGCUAGCGGCAGGCUUAAUACAUGCAAGUCGAACGGGAUUCAGGGUAGCAAUACUUUGAUGAGAGUGGCGCACGGGUGCGUAACGCGUAUGCAACCUACCUUUAACAGGGGAAUAGCCCCAAGAAAUCGGGAUUAAUACUCCGUAACAUUGCGGGAUGGCAUCAUUCUGCAAUUAAAGAUUUAUCGGUUAAAGAUGGGCAUGCGUGACAUUAGCUUGUUGGUGAGGUAACGGCUCACCAAGGCAACGAUGUCUAGGGGUCCUGAGAGGGUUAUCCCCCACACUGGUACUGAGACACGGACCAGACUCCUACGGGAGCAGCAGUAAGAAUAUUGGUCAAGUGGGCGACAAGCCUAGAACCAGCCAU
rnacentral:rRNA from 1 species